rnacentral:lncRNA from 1 species
CAGCAAGAUGAUGAUGUAAGUAAUGGUUAUUUAAAUCAAAUCUCAAAAUACUGGAAUUAUGUCAUCCUUGAAGAAGACAAGAGGAGAUCUGGGGGUUCCAAGAGGAAGUGCCCCUUCACCUGCAAGAUGGUCACCUUAGAGAAAUCUCAGUGCCUGGGGUGGGUAUGAACUGAAAACUCCUAGCCAAGAAGGACGGAAGACCUUGGUAUUAGGAAGGUUUAGAUUAGGAAGGUUUAGAUUUUGAGAUUUUUAGAUUUUGAGAUGACAUCCAAGCAUGCAAGCAAAAAAAGUCUCUUUUGCUUUUAUCUAAGUCAUACCAUGAAGCUGGCCAGGGUGAUUCUCUGACUCCUGGAAUGGCAGACCUGAUCGUCUGCCCUUCCCACGUCUUCGCCGAUCAGUCCCCACUUUCCAGCCUGCACAAGUGCCUUGGAGCCCUACCCUUUGGAUGCAGCCAAAGCCAUUCCUAGCAGCCCUUGAGGGUUCUAACAACACAACUGUGGAGUCAGAGUCCUGUCUCCUGGGAUCCCAAGGCUUCAUCCAGGGACAGCUACAUGUAAAUCAGGAAGAGAAAUCUGCUGUGGAAAAGGUCUCCAUUGACCAACUGCUCCUCUGGUCUCUGCCUGUCCAGCAGACAAGUGCACUGCAGUAAUGAAAUCCACGACUUCCCACCUCUGCCAGUGAAGAGUCAGCAUGUACCGUGUGAAAGCCAGGAAGGCUCAUCUGUCUCGUGAGUGAUUUCCUUUCCUAAGGAAGGCCCUCCAAGGAGCCAUGCAUCUCUGGAACGGAUCACCCAUGCUGACAGAACUGAAGAUUGAACCUCUAACUAACAUGACUUGUGCAGGUGACAGGGAAAUUGUUUGUAAUAUAACUUCAUUUCUUUAAAAGCAGCUACGGAUUUAUACUUGGGUGAAAUUAUAUCCCACAUACUAAUUUAAUAAACUCCUCUAAGCUUACACAGAGUCUCUUCUUGGAAAAGGAUGUGUUUCUGAUCCACUGGCCAGUGCACUGAAUGAUUUCC